CUACGGAGGGGACUAGCGUUGUUCGGAUUUACUGGGCGUAAAGCGCGCGUAGGCGGUUUGGAAAGUCAGAUGUGAAAUCCCAGGGCUCAACCCUGGAACUGCAUUUGAAACUAUCAGACUAGAGAUUGGGAGAGGUAAGUGGAAUUCCGAGUGUAGAGGUGAAAUUCGUAGAUAUUCGGAGGAACACCAGAGGCGAAGGCGACUUACUGGACCAAUACUGACGCUGAGGUGCGAAAGCGUGGGGAGCAAACAGGAUUAGAAACCCUAGUAGUCC
rnacentral:rRNA from 1 species